AGGUGCGAUCAUACCAGCACUAAUGCACCGGAUCCCAUCAGAACUCCGCAGUUAAGCGUGCUUGGGCGAGAGUAGUACUAGGAUGGGUGACCUCCUGGGAAGUCCUCGUGUUGCACCUA